UUUCAAUCUCAUCUAUUUGUACUGUUAAAAACUGACUAGCUGAUAGAAUAACCAUAGAGUAACAUGUGGCAUGCCAUAUGUACCUCAUAUUGCCGUACAGGGAUUGGUUUUUAACAAUAGAAAUGGAUAAAACUUUUUCGGAA
rfam:Gossypium hirsutum cultivar TM-1 chromosome 6, whole genome shotgun sequence